rnacentral:rRNA from 1 species
GUCCCAGUUCGGAUUGUAGUCUGCAACCCGACUACAUGAAGCUGGAAUCGCUAGUAAUCGCGAAUCAGCAUGUCGCGGUGAAUACGUUCCCGGGUCUUGUACACACCGCCCGUCACACCAUGGGAGUUGGUAACGCCCGAAGUCAGUGACCUAACCGCAAGGGAGGAGCUGCCGAAGGUGGGGCCAGUAACUGGGGUGAAGUCGUAACAAGGUAGC